rnacentral:rRNA from 1 species
UACGGAGGGUGCAAGCGUUAUCCGGAUUCACUGGGUUUAAAGGGUGCGUAGGCGGACAGGUAAGUCAGUGGUGAAAUCCCCGGGCUCAACCCGGGAACUGCGUCCGAUACUGGAAGGCUUGAAUCCGGGAGAGGGAUGCGGAAUUCCAGGUGUAGCGGUGAAAUGCGUAGAUAUCUGGAGGAACACCGGUGGCGAAGGCGGCAUCCUGGACCGGCAUUGACGCUGAGGCGCGAAAGCCAGGGGAGCAAACGGG